rnacentral:rRNA from 1 species
UACGGGGGGAGCAAGCGUUGUUCGGAUUUACUGGGCGUAAAGGGCGCGUAGGCGGUCGUGACAAGUCACUUGUGAAAUCUCCGGGCUUAACUCGGAACGGUCAAGUGAUACUGUCGGACUAGAGUACAGAAGGGGCAACUGGAAUUCUCGGUGUAGCGGUGAAAUGCGUAGAUAUCGAGAGGAACACCGGUGGCGAAGGCGGGUUGCUGGGCUGACACUGACGCUGAGGCGCGAAAGCUAGGGUAGCAAACGGG